CUGACUGCUAUCGGAUUGGUACUAAGCCAUGUGAGUCGUUGUAGCAAUACAAGGCAUACGGCUCAGUAACACGUAGUCAAUCUAACCUAUGGACGGGGAUAACCUCGGGAAACUGAGGAUAAACCCCGAUAGAUCAUAAUGCCUGGAACGGUUUAUGGUUCAAAUGAUUCGUCGCCGUAGGGUGGGACUGCGGCCUAUCAGCUUGUUGGUGAGGUAAUGGCCCACCAAGGCUAUUACAGGUACGGGCUCUGAGAGGAGUGGCCCGGAGAUGGGUACUGAGACACGGACCCAGGCCCUAUGGGGCGCAGCAGGCGAGAAACCUUUGCAAUGUGCGCAAGCACGACAAGGUUAAUCCGAGUGAUUCCUGCUUAAGGAAUCUUUUGUUAGUCGUAAAACCACUAUUGAAUAAGGGGUGGGCAAGUUCUGGUGUCAGCCGCCGCGGUAAAACCAGCACCUCAAGUGGUCAGGAUGAUUAUUGGGCCUAAAGCAUCCGUAGCCUGUUCUGUAAGUUUCCGGUUAAAUCCAUUAACUCAACUAAUGGGCUGCCGAAAAUACUGCAGAACUAGGGAGUGGGAGAGGUAGACGGUACUCGGUAGGAAGGGGUAAAAUCCUUUGAUCUAUUGAUGACCACCUGUGGCGAAGGCGGUCUACCAGAACACGUUCGACGGUGAGGGAUGAAAGCUGGGGGAGCAAACCGGAUUAGAUACCCGGGUAGUCCCAGCUGUAAACGAUGCAAACUCGGUGAUGCCCUGGCUUGUGGCCAGUGCAGUGCCGCAGGGAAGCCGUUAAGUUUGCCGCCUGGGAAGUACGUACGCAAGUAUGAAACUUAAAGGAAUUGGCGGGGGAGCACCACAAGGGGUGAAGCCUGCGGUUC
rnacentral:rRNA from 1 species